rnacentral:rRNA from 1 species
UACGUAGGGUGCGAGCGUUGUCCGGAAUUAUUGGGCGUAAAGAGCUCGUAGGCGGUGUGUCACGUCGUUCGUGAAAACCUGCAGCUUAACUGUGGGCGUGCGGUCGAUACGGGCAUCACUGGAGUUCGGCAGGGGGAGACUGGAAUUCCUGGUGUAGCGGUGAAAUGCGCAGAUAUCAGGAGGAACACCGGUGGCGAAGGCGGCAUCCUGGACCGGUAUUGACGCUGAGGCGCGAAAGCCAGGGGAGCAAACGGG